AUACGGAGGAUCCGAGCGUUAUCCGGAUUUAUUGGGUUUAAAGGGUGCGCAGGCGGGAGAUUAAGUCGGCGGGGAAAUUUUGCAGCUCAACUGUAAAAGUGCCUUCGAAACUGGGUUCCUUGAGUGUAGAUGAAGUAGGCGGAAUUUUUGGUGUAGCGGUGCAAUGCAUAGAUAUCACGAGGAACUCCGAUUGCGCAGGCAGCUUACUAAACUACUACUGACGCUCAGGCACGAAGGCGUGGGGAUCAAACAGGAUUAGAUACCCUGGUAGUCCACGCAGUAAACGAUGAUUACUAGCUGUUUGCGAUACAAUGUAAGCGGCAGAGCGAAAGCGUUAAGUAAUCCACCUGGGGAGUACGUUCGCAAGAAUGAAACUCAAAUGAAUUGACGGGG
rnacentral:rRNA from 1 species